AAAGUCGUAACAAGGUUUCCGUAGGUGAACCUGCGGAAGGAUCAUUAGAGAAGUAGUUAGUAGUACGAUGAAUGGCUGGGGCACUUUAGUGCGCUAGCAGGUCAAUGGGACUGUAAACCAAAGAGAUAGAGGUAAUGAGGGUAGUCAAGGAUAGAUUAGGGUUAACAGCCCAACCCUAUCCUCGCUGACUCAACUCUCAACUCUUAAUUUAAUAUUAACAACUGUACUACUUACACAAGGACCUCGCCGCAAUGGAUCUCUCGGCUCUU
rnacentral:misc_RNA from 1 species